UGAAAUGCUGUCUCCCAGCACUUGGCUGA
rnacentral:piRNA from 1 species